AUUGAACGCUGGCGGCAUGCCUUACACAUGCAAGUCGAACGGUAACAGGUUAAGCUGACGUGUGGCGAACGGGUGAGUAAUGUAUCGGAACGUGCCCAGUCGUGGGGGAUAACUGCUCGAAAGAGCAGCUAAUACCGCAUACGACCUGAGGGUGAAAGCGGGGGAUCGCAAGACCUCGCGCGAUUGGAGCGGCCGAUAUCAGAUUAGGUAGUUGGUGAGGUAAAGGCUCACCAAGCCGACGAUCUGUAGCUGGUCUGAGAGGACGACCAGCCACACUGGGACUGAGACACGGCCCAGACUCCUACGGGAGGCAGCAGUGGGGAAUUUUGGACAAAGGGCGCAAGCCUGAUCCAGCCAUGCCGCGUGCGGGAAGAAGGCCUUCGGGUUGUAAACCGCUUUUGUCAGGGAAGAAAAGGUUCUGGCUAAUACCUGGGACUCAUGGCGGUACCUGAAGAAUAAGCACCGGCUAACUACGUG
rnacentral:rRNA from 1 species